UUCGCCCUUAGAGUUUGAUCCUGGCUCAGGACGAACGCUGGCGGCGCGCCUAACACAUGCAAGUCGAACGAGCGAGAGAGAGCUUGCUUUCUCAAGCGAGUGGCGAACGGGUGAGUAACGCGUGAGGAACCUGCCUCAAAGAGGGGGACAACAGUUGGAAACGACUGCUAAUACCGCAUAAGCCCACAGCUCGGCAUCGAGCAGAGGGAAAAGGAGCAAUCCGCUUUGAGAUGGCCUCGCGUCCGAUUAGCUAGUUGGUGAGGUAAUGGCCCACCAAGGCAACGAUCGGUAGCCGGACUGAGAGGUUGAACGGCCACAUUGGGACUGAGACACGGCCCAGACUCCUACGGGAGGCAGCAGUGGGGAAUAUUGCACAAUGGGGGAAACCCUGAUGCAGCGACGCCGCGUGGAGGAAGAAGGUCUUCGGAUUGUAAACUCCUGUUGUUGAGGAAGAUAAUGACGGUACUCAACAAGGAAGUGACGGCUAACUACGUGCCAGCAGCCGCGGUAAAACGUAGGUCACAAGCGUUGUCCGGAAUUACUGGGUGUAAAGGGAGCGCAGGCGGGAAGACAAGUUGGAAGUGAAAUCUAUGGGCUCAACCCAUAAACUGCUUUCAAAACUGUUUUUCUUGAGUAGUGCAGAGGUAGGCGGAAUUCCCGGUGUAGCGGUGGAAUGCGUAGAUAUCGGGAGGAACACCAGUGGCGAAGGCGGCCUACUGGGCACCAACUGACGCUGAGGCUCGAAAGUGUGGGUAGCAAACAGGAUUAGAUACCCUGGUAGUCCACACCGUAAACGAUGAUUACUAGGUGUUGGAGGAUUGACCCCUUCAGUGCCGCAGUUAACACAAUAAGUAAUCCACCUGGGGAGUACGACCGCAAGGUUGAAACUCAAAGGAAUUGACGGGGGCCCGCACAAGCAGUGGAGUAUGUGGUUUAAUUCGACGCAACGCGAAGAACCUUACCAAGUCUUGACAUCCUGCGACGAUGCUGGAAACAGUAUUUUCCUUCGGGACGCAGAGACAGGUGGUGCAUGGUUGUCGUUAGCUCGUGUCGUGAGAUGUUGGGUUAAGUCCCGCAACGAGCGCAACCCUUACUGUCAGUUACUACGCAAGAGGACUCUGGCAGGACUGCCGUUGACAAAACGGAGGAAGGUGGGGAUGACGUCAAAUCAUCAUGCCCUUUAUGACUUGGGCUACACACGUACUACAAUGGCGUUAAACAAAGAGAAGCAAGACCGCGAGGUGGAGCAAAACUCAGAAACAACGUCCCAGUUCGGACUACAGGCUGCAACUCGCCUGCACGAAGUCGGAAUUGCUAGUAAUCGUGGAUCAGCAUGC
rnacentral:rRNA from 1 species